rnacentral:rRNA from 1 species
UACGGAGGGGGCUAGCGUUGUUCGGAAUUACUGGGCGUAAAGCGCGCGUAGGCGGACCUGCAAGUCGGGGGGUGAAAGCCCGAGGCUCAACCUCGGAACUGCCUUCGAUACUGCGGGUCUCGAGUCCGGGAGAGGUGAGUGGAAUUCCUAGUGUAGAGGUGAAAUUCGUAGAUAUUCGGAAGAACACCAGUGGCGAAGGCGGCUCACUGGCCCGGUACGUGACGCUGAUGUGCGAAAGCGUGGGGAGCAAACAGG